rnacentral:rRNA from 1 species
AUGACUAGGGAUAACCUUAGGAAGAGACACAUCAUCAAACCCCUUGAUUGUGUUUAUUGCUUGGAACAAGAGUCUUGCUCUCACCUAUUUUUUGAAUGUAUAGUUGCUAAACAUCUCUGGGCCCACAUUGAGGAAUAUCUCUCUAGUCAGAUUGGCUCAUCCUUCGAAUAUGUCGCCAGAUUCUGGAUUGCUACCAAAAAGUGCUCAGUUUUAAAUACUAUUAGCUCAACUAUCCUUUGGUGCCUCUGGAAAUAUAGAAAUGCUAUGAUUUUCAGUAACACCUCCUGGAUUUCCAUUCUGCAGGUCUUGAGGUUGAUCAGGGACAUGGUGAGGAACUAGGCGAUUCUCUCCUCCGGAUCGGACAAGGACAAGUUGAUGAGCUUCGUGGAAACCCUAACAAGAUCCCUCCAGAAACUGUUGGCGAUCACUUGUGGCUGA